GGUGUGCGAAAUGAUUUCCAAGUCAAGCAACAUUUAUAGAUGAAUGGAAGUCUUGAAUCAUAAGAAUAUGGAAUCGGGACCUGUCAAAUCCUUUGGUGGUACUUGGAUGUUGCUGUUUUCUUUGCCUCCUCCUCAUGGUUCCGAUGUGACUGUGGAAUACCAAGAUGUUGGCGUUCCGGAUUCUGUAGGAAUCAUCUGCAGGCUUGACAGUUUUAAUAUUAAAAUCCAAUUGCAUUUGAGAGACAGCAGAGAGAUUUGAUAAAUAACAACAGGUGGUUUCGCAGCUGAGAGCUUAUUAUAUACCAGGAUGAAAGUGUGCCAACACUCAAAAUAUACCACAAUUCUAAGACAUUUUUUUGUGUUGAAUCGAAAGUGAAUGAAAUGCAUUCUUAAAAGAAUAACGCUGGGAAGGAUAGAAAUCGCAACUUUAGUCCCUGACAGUGACUGGUAAAGGAACCUGAAGAGAAGAAUCAAGAAAAAAAAUUGUGAUUGAUAUUCUGUAGAAUGGCUGAUGGUCAGAACAGGUUUACUGAAUCAUGUGGAUUAAUUUUUGCAACAAAGUGAGGAAAUAAAAUUGAAUCUACUGUGUCUAGUA